UGGGGAAUCUUGCGCAAUGGGCGAAAGCCUGACGCAGCAACGCCGCGUGCGGGAUGAAGGCCUUCGGGUUGUAAACCGCUUUCAGUGGGGACGCGGUACCCACAGAAGAAGCCCCGGCCAACUACGUGCCAGCAGCCGCGGUAACACGUAGGGGGCAAGCGUUGUCCGGAUUUAUUGGGCGUAAAGAGCUCGUAGGUGGUUCGAUAAGUCGGGUGUGAAACCUCCAGGUUCAACCUGGAGACGCCACCCGAUACUGUCGGACUAGAGUCCAGUAGGGGAGCGUGGAAUUCCUGGUG
rnacentral:rRNA from 1 species